GACUGCAUAGCGUGGUGGAUUAGCGCAUCUAAUUUUGGAUCUGAAGGUCUUGGGUUUGACUCCCACUGUGGUCA
rnacentral:tRNA from 1 species